rnacentral:rRNA from 1 species
AACUUCAACAACGAUCUCUUGGCUCUCGCAUCGAUGAAGAACGCAGCGAAAUGCGAUAAGUAAUGUGAAUUGCAGAAUUCAGUGAAUCAUCGAAUCUUUGAACGCACCUUGCGCUCUUUGGUAUUCCGAAGAGCAUGCCUGUUUGAGUGUCA